rnacentral:rRNA from 1 species
ACCAGACCUAGCUCUAGCACAAACAAACUUAACAACACAUCAACAUGAAACAAAACAUUUAAUCAGUAAAGUAUAGGAGAUAGAAAUACCAUCCUAGAAGCUAUAGAAUAAGUACCGUAAGGGAAAGAUGAAAGAUACCUUAUAGUGAAGAACAGCAGAGACUAACCCUCAUACCUUUUGCAUAAUGAAUUAACCAGAAAUCCUUUGACAAAGUGAUCUUAAGCCAAAAACCCCGAAACCAGACGAGCUACUUAUGAACAAUUUGUCAGAAUGAACUCCUCUAUGUGGCAAAAUAGUGAGAUGAUUUAUAAGUAGAGGUGAAAAGCCAACCGAGCCUGGAGAUAGCUGGUUGUCCAAAAAACGAAUCUAAGUUCAACUUAAAGCCCUGCCUAAAAAGACUACCGAACUAAACUGCAGGCUUUAAUGUAAUUCAAUAGAGGUACAGCUCUAUUGAACUAGGAUACAACCUGGGAAGGAGAGUAAAUAUGAUAACUCACAUAGUUGGCCUAAAAGCAGCCAUCAAUUAAGAAAGCGUUAAAGCUCAACCUCUAAACCAUCAUUCAAUCCCAAGAACAAGUGAUAAACUCCCUCUUUCAUAUUGGACUACUCUAUUUUUAAAUAGAUGAAAUACUGUUAAUAUGAGUAACAAGAAUUCAUUCUCCGCGCGUAUGUUUAUAUCAGAACGGAUGCCCACUGAUAAUUAACGACCUAGUACUAACACUCCACACAUAAAUAAUCUACUUAACAAACUCGUUAGCCCGACACAGGAACGCAGCCCGGAAAGAUUAAAAGAAGAAGAAGGAACUCGGCAAACAUGAACUCCGCCUGUUUACCAAAAACAUCACCUCUAGCAUUACUAGUAUUAGAGGCACUGCCUGCCCAGUGACAUUAGUUAAACGGCCGCGGUACUCUGACCGUGCAAAGGUAGCAUAAUCAUUUGUUCUUUAAUUAAGGACUAGAAUGAACGGCAAGACGAGAUUUCAACUGUCUCCUUCCUCUAAUCAGUGAAAUUGACCUCCCCGUGAAGAGGCGGGGAUAAACCUAUAAGACGAGAAGACCCUAUGGAGCUUUAAUUUCUUUAUCUAUUAGCAACCUGUAUUUCCCGACAGGACCACAACUCAACUUUUUAGAUAAAAAAUUUCGGUUGGGGUGACCUCGGAGCAGAAAAAAACCUCCGAACAGUACACAUCUAUGAUAAACUGAUCUAAGCUUAAACUCUAUUGACCCAGUAAUCUGAUCAACGGAACAAGUUACCCUAGGGAUAACAGCGCAAUCCUACUUGAGAGUCCAUAUCGACAGUAGGGUUUACGACCUCGAUGUUGGAUCAGGACAUCCUAAUGGUGCAGCAGCUAUUAAAGGUUCGUUUGUUCAACGAUUAAAGUCCUACGUGAUCUGAGUUCAGACCGGAGUAAUCCAGGUCGGUUUCUAUCUAUAACCAACUUCUCCCAGUACGAAAGGAUAAGAGAAGUAGAGCCAACUCCUCAAGAGUGCCCUAACCUUUAUUAAUGAGUUCAUCUAAAUUAAGAUUGACCAACAUAUGCUAGUCCUAGACUAGGACAC